AUAAGCGUCCCGCCUGCAACCAACAGAGCAUUAUGCCGACGUCUCCCGUUAACACGCGGAUCCCCCUCACCAGUUUCGGUCAUCUCAUAACAGAGGUGAAGGUAAGAACAGUGUUUGAUUUAUGCAUGCACUGUCUACAGUGGUGGAAUUAAAUUAAAUAAGGACAAGUGGAUUGAUGGAGUGAAAAUGCAUCUGUUUUGAUUUAAAAACAAGGGAUUAUUUGCAUUAAACAAAUACCUAUUAACAUAUCACUUUCUCUCUUUUUACUUUUACUUUUCCUGAUCAUUUUACUCAUGAGGUGGAGCACCUUUCACGGCCUGAAACAAUAAUUUGUUUAUUGAUUUUGGCUUGAUCAUAUCAAAUAAAACAAAAUAAGAUAAGAUAAGAUAGAGGCGUUUUAUGAUCUCCCAAAUUCACUUUACGGCUUUACAAGAAACUGUCUAAAGGUAGGAAACAUGUAGAGUGUAUAACAUUUGUAAAAUAGCAAAUAGCUGUGCAAAAAAUAGGGAUACAUAAAUCAAAUAACGAGUAUUUAAAAAGACAAGGGCGGAAAAUACACAGUGAGUGUGUCUCUCCUCAGCAGCCACAAGGGGCAACAAUGAGCCCAGUACGCCUUCUAAAACAAACUUACACAAGCUACACAAAGGUGAGAUUCAUGCUGAUAUAUAUGUUAUAUGAUAUUUAUGAAACUGAUCUUUACAAGCCCCGAACCAGGAGUUUUAAGUUGUGGUGGAAGAAAUACUCAGAUUUUGUACUUAAGUAAAAGUAUUACGGUGCAAAUGAAUCAGAAUCAGAAAUACUGAAUGUAUCUGCGGGGGGAUAUUGGACAGUGACAGUUGCUCUUAUAUACUGUAUUAUAGGCCUAAGCAUAAAGAAAUAUGAGAAAAAUAGAAAUAAAGGACUCUGUAAAAUGUAAAUGAUCAACAUAAUGCUACAAUAUACCCAAUAUAUGAACCAGUAAGAUGAAGAAGAAAGCUGCGCAUGCACUCCUGCUUUUACUAAACCUUACUCACAAGUAAAAGUCAUGCAAUCCAAUUUCUACUUAAGUAAAGGUACAAAUGUGUUGGCAAAUAUACUAUGUAAAAGUACUAUGCACAAUGUCCCAUUUCAGAAUAAUGUAUAUUAUAUUAUUGGAUUAGUUAUGGAUGCAUUAUUAAUGUGUAAGCACCACCGAGGUUGCAGCUGGUACUGUGGGGGCUUAUUUUUAACUACCUUUUUGUACUUAAUCUGCUCAACCCUGUACAGUACUUGAGUAAAUGCAUGUAGUUAUUUUCCACCACUGUUUUUAGCCUCUUUCCACUGAAGACAGCUGCUUUCUGCAGCUGAAAAUAAUGUCAUGAGAGCUGUGGGUUUUUCAUUUCCGUAUUGUUUUCACAAACAAUCCUAAAAAAAGACUUGAAGUUUUCAUGGUAAUACUUAAACAAAACAUAUUUAGCAUUAUUUCAAAUAACUUUAAAGUUAUCUCAUCUUUUCUUUUCUCCUUGUGAUUGUUUAAUCUAUUAGACAUUGUAAUAUAAAAUCAUCCACACAGAACCCUCGUCCCGUUCAUCUGUGUUUAAGAGUUGUAACAGAGGUGUCAGAUAUGCUCAUUAUGACAUUUUAUCAUCGAUAAAAUCUUAAAAGAAUCAGAUAAACAACAAGGGCACAGCUGCUGAUUUCUAAAUGAUUGAAACAGCUGUCCUCUACCCCAUCAUGCUCCAGUCCACAACGUGGUUUCACUUCAUUAAAUCUGUAUCAGGCUUGAGGGGGAAGAAAGGGUUUCGUCUCUACUCUGCUAAUACCGGCUGCAGAAUAAAUCAGCGCUGCCGAGCAGAGCGGCCUCGUCAGCACUCUGCUGUCGCCGCUGGCGCACUCCGUGCAAGUGUAAUGUUCAUAAUGGAAAUUAUUCAUCUAUUCACAUGGAUGCUUGUAUUCUGCAUUCUCCCCCCUCAUGUGCUGUAAAGCAGAGGAACACUUCACUUCAUGGAAUUCAGUCGUCUUGAAUUAAAAAAAAAAAAGACAAUGUAAGAAGAUGGCGACGACAUUUUUAAAGUGAUAAUUCAUUUUUACUGUCAUGUAUAGCACAAAUAAAAAAAAAAUACACCUUUUCACUUCAAUUGCUGAGAGUUGGAUGAAAAGAUUGAUGCCACUCUUGUGUCUACAUGAGUAUGAAAGUGUCAGUAGACCGUUAGCUUAGCUUAGCAUAAAGCCUGGAAGCAGGAGGAAACGGCUAAAAGAGCUUCGCACGCAACCUCCUCUAAAACUACAACUUUGUUUUACAGGAGCUUAUGUGCUGAGCUUUAUUGACACUUGUUCUAUGUAUUCAACAAACAUUUAACAUGUUAAUAGUGAGCUCUAGAGGUGCUGCUAGGCGGAUGUUGUUACCUUUGGACAGAGCCAGGCUAGCUGUUUCCCCCCGUUUCCACUCUUUAUGCUAAGCUAACUGUCUCCUGACUGUAGCUUUGUAUUUACUGUUCAGACAUUAAGGGUGGUAUCAAUCCUCUCCUCUAACUCUCAGCAAGAAAACAAUUAAGUGUAUACCCCAAAUUCAAAUCCUUUAAAUAUAAAGAUACAACCAGGAGAAGGUUAGCUUAGCUUAGAAUAAAGACUAGAAGCAGGGGAAACAGCUGCACGGGGCUGCUAAUAGUCAAAUGCAUUGCCUAAUGUGAAACCACAGCUUGUAAUUGUAACACUUUGUUUUUUAAUAGAUUAAAGAAAUGAGCUUUAGAGGUGCUCACAGGCAGAUUUCUUUUUUGUUGAACAGAGCCAAACUAGCUGUUCCCUCCUGUUGUCAGUAUUUAUGCUAAGCUAACCUAAAGGUCUCCUCUUGGUAUAGCUUUAUAUUUACUGUGAGUCUGCUCAUCUAACUCUCUGCAAGAAAGUGAAUACAUUUCUGAAAAUGUCAAACUAUUUCUUUCUCAGCCACAUGUCGUGCAAAGCUAGUUUGAAAACAUCAUCAACAUUAAAACACAUUCAUCAUUUUUAGUGACAUGAUUUAGAUAAAUGUGUUUUCGACAUCAUUAAAAAGUUAAUUCUCCUGUCAGUAGUUAUGAGAAACGCCUGGCUUUCAUGUAUUGCUGUUGCAGCUAUUUGAGAACGGAGAUAUUUUGUUAAUAAAUCUCAGCAUAUGCAUUAGUAGAAGAAGUGAUAUCAAGCAGUGUGGUUGCAGUGCUUCCUCUUACUGUGUUGUUUUUUUUGUGCGUUUGUGUUUGGCAUCGAGGCCCCGGCUUCUGGGGAACUGACCGGUUUGAGGAAAUACUUUAAUAGCUACACUCUGCAGGGUCGCAGAAAUGUACAUAACACACACACAUAUUUACACGCACAGGCUGCAUUCAAUGUAAAUGUUAAUUUAAGCUUUUACAUAUCAAGUACUUCAGAAAUAUGUCCUUCUCCGCUCUCUUACAGUAUGUCUUGGCUACUUAUGGGCUCUUUGCUGUAACAGCUGCUGCCUACUGGAUGCACAGACAAAACAAAAAAGAAGACCAGGCGUCCAGCGCCACAGUCUGAAACAUCGGCCUCUCACAGUGACGUUUAUACUCACCAAUGAUUAAUAAAGAUGUGAACAAACAAA